UACAGGUCAUAUAGCUCACUUCCCUGAAGAGGUACAAAUCUCCCACCAAACCGCUGCGUCGCGCGCCGAGCCGCACAGCUACGGAAAGCCACAGGGGUCAAAAGGCGGUUCUUCGCGAAACAGAGGGCGCAUGAAGAGGAGAGAAGGGAGGGAGCAGAAUAGCAGAAUGGUCUUUUAAAAACUGCUUCACUGCACUAAUGUUCCUGAAACCUGAGCUCUUAUUGGAUCUGAAGGGCAUUAUAAGACAAGGCAUCCUCCACCCUCUACCCCUGUUUAAAGGUGAGGAUUAAAGGGAUUGCUUUCAUUCAGGGAAGGAGAGGCGAAAAAGCCUUCCAGCAGAGCCCACUCCGGCUCAGCUCUUCUCCCCGUGUGCCUGUCCCCUUGUCUCUGCUUGCCAGGCCAGUUGACCAACCCUCCGACAAACUAGCCACCGGCCCGCCUGGACAGCUCUCUCGCACCCAGGCUUGUUACUGUGAGGUAGUCAGACGCAGCUAGCUGCCUCGUGGCCUCUGACAUUUGCGUGGAGGACAAAAAAAAAAAAAAAAAGGAGGAUGUGCUCAACUUUCCUCUCCUACACCUGCGAUCACGCUGUGGGGUCUCGAGAAACCCCCCCACCCUGGAAUCAGUGCAGGCCUCAUGUUAUAUGCAGGGAACACAGCAACCUCUUCUGGCCAAAAGUGAACGCAGCAGAGAGUGUGUGCUGAAGCCAGCAUAUAACAAGUCCCGGCAGCAGCAGGGCUUUUCCUGACCCAUGGAGGGCCGCACCAGUGCCAUGGCAGGAGCGUGAUGGGGAGUAUCCAUUGAUGGAUGUUGGGCAGGUAUUCUUCAUCGCCAGGGCUCCAACACCCUCUUCCUGACCAGGAGGGAAAUAUAGCGUACCAGAAAGGUGCCAAGGGGGUAUACGCCAAGCUUUGGUGGGUGCAUGCAGAUCCUGGUCCUGGUUUAAUUAUGGGCAUUGUUGGAGUCAGAGUGGGUGGUCAGGUGUGUGCAUGGGAACAUUCACAAAUAUCCUGUAUUACCAGAUAAAAUUUAAGGGAAAAAAUACAUAGAGUAAAGGUUGCAGCCCAGCAACAUCAGGAGCUCCUGUACAACAAAGAGACUAGACUUAGGCAAUUGCUCCCUUCUUUCAGCUCAAAAUUACUGUUGCUCAGUGGGUGACGUCCACUAUGAGGUGGUGCGGUCGGACAGGGAAGGAGCCACAGAGAUAUUUCACCUCACCCUCCUCAAAGACAAAGUAGGCUGCAUAUGCUGCUGCCUACUUGAUGCCGAUGUCAACUGUCUUUGUUAUUACCUCCUGGGACAGUCAAUAACCGCAUACUCAGACCACGCCCCGUUGUAGGGGCUCCACCGCAUUAUGUAUGGUUGCCAAUCCCCGGAUCACCCUGUGGUAUCUGGCUUUGCAGCCCUUUAAGUUGAAGGUAAUCCAUAGGCCAGGGGCACAGAUUGCUGUGGUCAAUUUUCACUCGCAAGGUGGGGGGUGAGUAGGUUUAGACGGAUGGGUCCCCAGCAUCAGUAGAGGUGGAGGUGUGCGGCAGGGGUGUAAUCUGCGGCUCUGCUGCAGGGAAGGGGUGGUGCAGUGGGUUGGAGGGCCAGGGAGGCUGGCAGGGCAACUGAAAGCAAUUCAAUAAUUACACUCUCCCUAUUUUAGUGACACUAACACCUGGAGGAAAAAAGAACAGGUGGCUGUCGGGACGAGGGGGGCAAAUAAUUGUAAAUAAAAAAUACUGUCACAAGUACGCUGACUGUCUUAGCUCCUCACUGAGGUCACACAGUCCUUCAAAAGUCUCUUUGCAGACUUAUUCAGUUGUAAAGCUGCACCUAGCAGAUUUACAGCUACAUUUGACAAAAUCAAUCUGCCACUUAACCUUUAACCAUACUCCAGGCUAUGUGGAGUGUUCUUUUGUCUUACACAGGUGUAGCACAGUCAAGUAAAAUCCUUUGACUACUGAAUGAGAACUUAAUGCUGUACCCAACUGGCUGAACCAGCAGUGAUUUAGCUUCUGUCCACUGACAUAUUGAAGGGACUAAAUAUGAAUUUUACAUUUUAUACUUGUACUUGUAUUUCACCUUGGGGAGAUGUGUUCACUCUGACAUUAAGGGUCAGUUUUUGAUUAGUCAUUGCCAAAAAGAAGAGCCAUUAUAAUAUAUUACUUUUAUAUUUUCUACUGAAAAAUGAUUAUGUGUGAUAUUACAGUAAAUCAUGAAAACCUUUAAAAGGGAUUAACUUUCUUUUUCUUUUUUUUAGUAAGGAGUGAGAAAGAGAGACUCACCUGACUCACCUGUACAGCUGGCAUUGAGUUCUUUGAACUCCAGCAGCCUCCCACACUUCUCUCCACUACGCUACUCUUUUCUCUUCUCCUGCUGUGACAGCUUUGGCCUUUAAGCUCAGCACUGUUAUCACAUUUUAACAAGCACGUCAUUAACGUUGUCUCGCCGAGCUUUCUGUCGCAGUGACAGACAGCUGUUUUGACACACCCUGCCUCUUGCAGUUGCAGGGCUGACUUACAAUAAUGCAUUACUAAAAAUGUCAGUGGCUCCAUUUAACUUUAUUCGUUUUAAAGCCAGUGGUAAAGGUUUUUAUUACCCACUUUAUUGAACACCUUACGGUGAGAUGGUGCUGUCUAAAUUGUAUUAUACAUUAUAAACUUCUACAAGUAUGUGGCAGCAGCUGCACAGGAAUGUAGAGCACACAUUUACUCUUUAUGGUACACAGUCCAAUGGAAAUGGCUGUACAGAUAAUGUGCUUGUUCUUAUUUGUGGAUCACUGCGCACUCACAUGUAUGACCACGCUGGCUAAAUGAUAGUCUGCUCUGUUCACCUUUUGAAUGCCAAUAUUUCUUAAGCAUGCCUUACCUGAGCAUAGAGUUACAGUGCACAUUAAGUGAUCUUUAACCUCAGAUUUCUGGCCAACAAGCAAUAAUCCAACGCCAUCCCACUCUUUUCAGUUUCUAAUACUGUUCUAUAACAGUUCCAUUUCUGAAAUUACUCUAAUGUAAUGGUAGGCUGUUAGUUUUUAACAUAAAGCUACCAUUCUUGCAAUAUUAUAGCCACUUGUGAAGAAGGUUUAUGUGUCUAGGCAGUUCUACACUUUUUGAUAAUACCCGCCCUCAAUCUUGUCUGUGUGUUCCUUUAUGUAAUGUAAUUAUGAACAGCAAUACCCAUCAAUGUACCAGCUGUCUCACUACAAUAUCUCCUUAGUCUGGACUUUCUCGCUGACCCUGAAGAUAUCGGGAUUCUAAAAAAAAUUUAAAAAGUAAUGGUAAAAUGGAAUCAUCAAACAAAAUCCUCUUAAAAAAAGCCACAAAGCAUGCGUCAUCCCAUUUCACCAACAUAUUAAAGAUUUUGCUAUGGAGCAAACUCCGUUUCUCCAAGUACCCAAAAUGAAUUACAUUGUGGAUUAUCGUGUAAUUAUGGAUCUUUCCAAAGACUGAUAGAACCGGAAAAUUGAGUUCUGAAUAUUUCAUAAUGCAUAGCACCAUCUUUGUAGAGGAAAUUAUUUAGGGAUAGCAUGCUCAUUUGCAGAAUGGAUAAAGGUUCAUUGCGAGUCACCAGAGUGCAGUAAUUGGAAAGCUCCUGUGAUUCAAAGGAAUCAUUCAGAGAUGAGCAUGUCUCCUGGAUAGCUGUGUAGUACUCCAUUAAUCUUCAGUCACACACCCAAAACUAUCAGCUACCAUCCAAACCUAUCAAGCUGUUGGCAUAUACCAUAUUUGUGCCGCAUAUAAAUCACAGUUAUACAACAAAUGUGAUAAAUGUGCACUUUAUCCUUUUUUUAUCCCUCUGCAGAUGAGCUCUGGCACCCUCCCAGAGGUAAGAACUCUUGUAAUCUUACCUAUGAUUUUUUUGUACGUCUUUAUUUAUUUCUUUUUCUUAAGUGUGGAUCCCUUUAAUACACAGACAAGUAGAAUUAUCACAAUAUCAGCAUCACAUUACAUGAAAUAUCAUCAUCACCAAGGACAAACCAAACAAUUUAAGGUUGGAUAAACUACUCACUUAGGUGAACACUCUGACUGGGAUCUAAAAGGAUAAUUUUGUCGCCUCUAGAAAACAUAUGAAGAAAUGCCAGUUUUGAAAAAUGUCAUCUUUAAAAGGCAAAUCUAAAUGUCAGAGAGAUAGAUCCUUUACACAAAGAGAGCACUGCCUUCUGGGUAGUACACAGAAAGGCUUGAGAAUAAUAUAUUUUUUUCCCCCAGUUGAAAUGAACUACAAUUACCCAUCAUCAAGCAUAUAAAGCAGUACCCUCGCAUUCACAGUCUCAUAGCCUGGGGAGGAGAGUGGUCACUGUUUGCAACAUUAGUCAGAGAAAAAAACAAAAGGAAAAUAUGUUUUGCUUUGUCACGAAAAAAAUAGACUUUACUAUGUUGUGAUGUGAAGUAUGUCACUGAGAUGUUAUGGAAUAUACUGAAUUCAUAUAAUGGAUGAGAGGCAGGUAGUGUUAGGCGCUGCAAAGUUUUAAAUAGGAUGUUAACAUAGGCUGGAGGAAGUUUAACAAAGGUUAAACAAAAUAAGCUCCAGGCAAGCUUCUAAUAACUGACCUCCACCUAUCAGUCCUUGUAGUUAUGCAUUUUCUAUCACCUGCCCAGGUUAGGAAGUGGGGAUAAAAACUCAAGUAACCAAAGAAUAUUUACAUUAAUUGCAAAAAGACUAAAGGUGACAUUUUUUUUCCUCUUCCAUUCACCAUAAAUAUGGAAACAUACACUGUGCAUUCGUAUUUUGAUCAAUGUCAGUGGCUGUAGCAUCUCCUACCCCGUUCUCCCACACUGUGCCUGCUCAGGACACAGUCAUAUAUUUAUGAUUGGCAGCUGAUUUCCAAGCAACAAAGUUAAACUCCAGAAGGAAAACAGGAAAAAUAAUUAGUGAAACAGCAGCUCAGUCCAAUAUAAACCUGAUGACACUAACAUAAAGGCAAACUCAUAAUCUGAUCCAUAAUCAAGCAGAGCACUUUUAAUGGGAGCAGGUCGCAGUAAAAAGGGGGAGGGAACAACCUCUUUUGCAAACAUAACACAACAUUUGUCAGGAUAGAGGAUGAGUUUAAGAUAAAGAGAAAAUUAAUCCCACAAUACUUUGUGUAAUUUCAGAAAAGAAAAUCGUUGUUCUAGUUUUUGAAUUGCAUGUUGUUUGAUAUUUAAACUGUUUGUGAUGAUUCUCAUGUAUCAGCAGAAACAAAAGAUUUUCACAAGGCCUUCUCUUAAGAUUUUUUAUGUAAUUUUUGUUUGGUUUGGUUUGGUUUGGUUAUUUUUACAUCCCACUCUCCUUGUAAGGGUGCCCACAAGGAGAAGUUGCUUACAGCAACAUUGCUGUGUGUUUUAAACUAUAAAUUAAAUAUUGCAUUUUGAUACAAAACAGAUAGUGUUGGCUUAAAGUGGUUUACAUCUCUGGGCUUAACUGAUUCAUCAAAGUUUGCAGCUAAAAUAUUUCACAGUACAGAAUUUUCUUUUUUUAAUCUGAUGCAUGAAAGCCAUGUUGUGUUUCUUUUUUCUUUUCUUUGUGUGUGUGGUGGGGCGGGGGGGCAUCACAGCUAAAGCAAGCAGAGCAGCAUGCCUUAUUUGAGUUUAUAUUUUACAAAUUGCUAAAUGUACAAAUGGGAAAUUCAUACCUGAAUACAUCUUUCUUUGGUCAUCAGUUACAAAAAGUUGGAAACCAUCAUUCCUGAUACUUCUCAGUGGGAAAAUAUCAGAAAAGAACUGACUCUCAGUCAGUGUAGGUAAGUAACUGAAUGAAGAUUUGAAAAAGGGCAGAAGAAGAAGAAAUGCAAGAAGAAAAGAAAAGUGAGGUGCAAGUGGAGAUGAAGAUGGGAAAAGACUGGAGUCAAAGACUAAGACGGGAGAGAUGGCGAUGGAGGCGAAAGAAAGCAAGCCUCUGCUCCGACUGUCCUGGGUCACAGGUUUUUAUAUUAAUGGUUGAGGUCUUGUGUCAGGUCAGGGAGAGCUAAUCUUAACUCUCUUGCUGGAGGGCACCUUCAACCCACGGGGCAUCUGGGUAUCUCGUCAACCCAACAGUGAACCACCGGGCUCUUCUCUUAGCAUGCAAAUGAGACAAGAACAAAUGUCCCAUCACUUCUGGGGCUCCAUGUCCCAAAGUGCUUAACACUCUUCCUGUCAACCCCCCACACCCCACCCCACUCCAGCUGCUUCAAAAAGCCCCUCCUGCACAUCCUUCACUCUUUUUUUUCCCCUCCCUCUGAUGUUCUUUAAAUGAGCUUCCCAACUCCACUUCUUUCUCACAAUUCAAUUUUACAAGGCCAUUAUCCUGGGUGUAAUGUGGAGGUUAAAUAUAUCGGGGCAGACAUUAUGUGAAAAUAAUUAGUGCUAAUGAAUAAUGCACUCAUUCAGCUGAUGAAGGAUGGUUGUCAGGGUAAUGGAGUACAAGGGAGGGGCCCCUCUGACAAAUGAAAUUAAAAUAUUUAAACACUGUUUUACGAUAUUAUCAGGCCCUCACACUCUUUCCCUGUUACGCACUCGCUAUAUGGAGCAGGCGAGCCUCCAUGUGACAUGAUAGUUGUGUCAUUACUCACGCACAACAUCUGUCUCACCAGAGGCCCAGAAACAAGGCCCAUGCUUUUGCAGUACCUCACACCACAGCUCAUCAUCCCUGCCCUGAUAAUCACGCUGAUGGCUUUAGAGAUGGCGCUCUUAUUGACAGUCGAUGUCACCCUGCCAGAUUAUAUUUUCUUCACUUUAUUUAUUGCCACUGCACUCAUUCUGCCUCUUAGGAUCUCAUUCUGCGCCCAUCAUGUGACAAUGAAGGAUGUAGGUUUUAAAUCGCCUGGUUUACAGCGCCCUCCCAGUCAAUUGGCCUGUUCCAAUCAAUAAUGGUGGACUAAGCACUCUGUGACAGAUAAAUGGUAAAGCAUCAACACAACCUUAUUAGACAUAAUGGGUAGAUGAAAAUAUAGGAAAGUGCCUUUGACAGAGGACAGAAAGUGCAUGAACUAAUAAUAUAUAUUGCUUACUUCUUCAUGCACCAAACUCUGCUUGAUGAACCUUCAAACACCUAUUUCCACCUACACCUACUUGAACUUCAGCCAUUCUAGCACUUUGGUUUACUCUGGUUUCAACAUAAAGUCUCUAAGAUUGUGGCCAGUAAUCCAAUAUAUCAGAGUCGUCAAAGGCUAAUCAUUUUUGGAGCUGACAGAAUGUGAUUUAUGUUUAAAUAAGACUCCAGCCUAUCCCCAUUGUUUUGAUUUAACCAUGUUCCUGUGUAGUGAUGAACACAUUCCCCUUGAACACAAAAGAUCCCUGGUUCAAGACCAGGAGAAGACACAAACCCAACAGUAUACUCCCAUUGCUGGUCCCAAGACCAGAAAAAUAGGAGCAUCGCAUCAGGAAGGGAAUUUGGUAUAAAUUAUCCAGAACUGCAUAACAUCCGUUGUACAGUAGGUGAAAACAACAGUGGUUGCUGGUGCAACUAAUGUCAGUUAGUUGUAAUGGAAAUCUGACUAGGCCCAAGCUGUACUUGCUGACAAUGACAACACUUUCAUGCUGAUGUAUUUAUUUUCUUUGUAAGUAUGCUAAACUUGUAAACGUUAUACAAUGUAAACAUUAUGUCAAAGAGUAAAAGGUUACAGAUUAAAAUUUGGACCUGAAGAUAACCAAAGUUAUGAGGAUUUGUCCUAAAGAGAGCAAAUAUAUUUGCUGCCAAACUUUAAACCUGUGGGUGCCGAUAGUUGUUAUUAAGUUCAGCAGUGGAAAUGAAUGGGCUGAUCUGCGGUCUUGCCCACCCCUGCGGUCACACGUUCUUGGUUUCAACUGGAAAAAAAGAUCAAGAAUGUAAAAACUCACAGGGUUUCUUUUCUUUUUUGUCAGUCAGUUUGUUCAUAAUGAUGCCACAUCAUUGUUUUAUAUUUUGUUUUUUAGAAAUACAAAUGUUUUUGGCUCCCUGGGUUCCCCAGUCAAAAUCCCCCAGUUCCACAUAUGCAGUUUUAUUAAACUGAAUGAUUGGAGAACAUUGGAGAUGUCAUUAGAUCUUCCAGAGACAGAUAGAUGCCCUGGUCAUGCCACACAUGACAAGAAGAGCUGAUGCUGCUACAUUGCCAGCCCCAAUCUGAGCAGCAAUGACCCUCCUGGGAAUGAUGGAAAACUCCACCUGCUGAUAUGACUGUCCAACGCUCAGCUGGAACAUCCACUCGACAAAGGUGUUACUUUGCUGCCGAAACACAGACAGGGAGGAAGCAACUGUUUGCUCCUCCUGUCGCACGCCAGCAUGCCCUGAGCAGAGCAUGAGGCAAACUGUGUGUUAUAACUGCAUGUAGGGUGUGUUUACCUUUAGCUGUGUUUAGUUUUUUCCAUUCCCCGUACAACCAUGGUUGGUGAUUUCUGCCAGGGCUGCCAUUUGUCUCUGAUUCUGUUUAUAACUUUUAAGAUCAUAAUUUCUAGGUGCAGCCGAAGGGUGGAGGGUGGUUUUAGGAUAUGAUCUCUGUUUUUCUCAUUGAUGUGGUUUUGUUGGUUUUACACUGGGGCAUUUUCCAACCAAGUGUGAAGUGGAUGGGAUGAGAAUUAGCAUCUCCAAGUCUGAAGCUAUGGUUCUCCGUUGGCAAAGAGUGGAGCACUCAUUCAGGGUUCGGAAUGAAUCGCUGCUACAAAUGGAGUCGUUUGAGUAAGUAUUACACCUACUAAUGACAACACUGCGCUGGUCGGUUGUGGUGAAGAGAGAGCUGAGCGGGAAUGUGAAUCUGCCGAUUUAACAGCUGAUCUGCAUUCUUGCCAGCCCCUGUGGUCACAGGUUCUGGGUAUCAACUGAAAAAAAAAAAAGAUCAAGGAUGCAAGCAGCAGAAGUGAUUUUCCUCUCAAGGGUGUUGGAAAUAGAGGCAUUUGGUCAUUUAGGAGUCGCUCAGAGUAGAGAAAACUACUUCUCCUCAUCAAAAGGUGUUUUGGACAUGCAAUGGAGGUCCCGGGGCAGACCCAAGUACACGCUGGAGAGAUUAUAUCCCCAAGCUGGCCAGUUGUGUAUUUAUUUCAGUUAUUUUAUAUUUGACUGAUAUAAUCCACGAAUCCAAGACAAAUAGUUUUUAAUUGAAAUUAUUAAAAAAUUUGUGAUACUUCAAUAGACAAAAGCUAAAAAAGCUGAUUAAUAAGAAUGUGGUUUGUAUUUGUAAAUCUGAAAGUAAUAUUAAUUAAACUGCAAAAAUACUGGCAGAUAAUAAAUAAGCUACAUUUUUUUUUCUUUAGAUGACAUUAAUGACAUAACUAAUAAGACUUUGAGUAGAAAUAAGGUUUGCUAUUAUUAUUUUGCUGUUAUAUUUCAUUUCAUACAGUAAAUUAUUCUUGGGGUCCCAGGGUACCUCCGUCAGUAGUCCACAUAUGUUAACUAUGUCGGUAGGAUGAGUGUUAACAAAUUAAAGGUGGGUCUGAGGCUGAUUAGGAACAACCCACGCACCAUACCCUGCUACAUCUGGCAACUUUCUUUUCUUAACUCUUAUUUUGCAUUUUGGCACCAUAUACAUUUGACUUGCAAAACAGACCUAAUUACAGGGCCUGCAGUAUGCAAGCCACACAUCAAACAUUAAGUUACAGUAGAAGCCUGUGAUCCCAGUCACAUACCCUCUCCCUCUUUUUUUUUUCUUCUGCCCUCCCUUGCCUCUGCACACCAGAAACACUGAUUGUAACAGGGACAUUAAAGGGGAAUUACAGCGAAACAAUUUACACUUAAUGUAGCAGUCGUAUGAACGGGGAAGAAAGAUGGACAAAGAUAUAGCCGUAUUAAUAAUACAUGUUUUAAUUAAGCAGCUGGGAAUGCAAGGAGCAGGAUCAAGGGAACAGACAGACAAUGAAAGAAGAACUCGAAAGGAGGGAAGCGGUGAGAGAAAGACGGACGAAGAAAAAACUGAAAAUGAGAGAGCGAAUGACAGAGAAAGUGUAAAACAAAGCGGAGCAUAAAAAGUAGAGGAGGGAGGAGGAUCGGAAUAUGGUGCUGCGCGUUUCCUGCAAACCGUGAUUCAUGGGCAGUAAAUAUGCAAAGCCUGAUGGCCAUAAGGCAAUCAGAGGAGCGCCACUCAUCUACAUGUUGCACAGUGGGCUAUAAUCCAUCUGAGGGGCAAGGAAUAAUGAUACCAGGAAGCAGGAAUAAGAGCAGGGUCUGUUUAUUACCUCAGACAGAUCCAUAAUGCAUACAGAUGUGAGGGAGGCACACAGCUGCCUCUGGCCAGAGAACUCUAUUGAAAAGUAGAGACAGUAAUAUUGUGUUUAGUGUAAUGAAAGACAAUCUGAUUGAAGCACCUAUUAAGGCAAAUAAGACUGCUGUCGUAUGAGGUUUAAGUGCCGGAGCUGUAACGAUCACUGACAGGGUGGAGAAGAGCUGGGAUGGAUACUGAAGGAGAAGGAGGCGCCGACACCUCAAAGGCAACAGCAAGGUCACCAAUAAAUAACAUGGGUAAUACAAUAUGAAUGUGCAGUCGUGCAAAGUGAAAUGUAAGGUAAUAAUAUGGUCCAAAUAUGCACAUUUAAGACCUUGCUCGCUGUUAAGAGCAUACCAGCGCAGAUAAAACGUACGACCGGCAAUAAAGCAGUAAUUUGAAUUCUUUGGUGUCAUUGUGUUUACUUUUCUUUAUUUGCAAAGACACCCGCACAUUCACGCGCACUCUCGAACACAAAGGCCUUCUUCCCCGUGUCCUCACAGAGGACAUUAACACCAGGAUCCUAGUGGUGCUAGAGUAAAGUAAUAAAUUGUGUUGAACAUUGAUAAACUAAUGCAAUUACCUG